CCUACGGGAGGCAGCAGUAGGGAUNUUCCGCAAUGGACGAAANUCUGACGGAGCAACGCCGCGUGAACGAUGAAGGCNUUUCGGGUCGUAAAGUUCUGUUGUCAGGGAAGAACAAGUACCGGAGUAACUGCCGGUACCUUGACGGUACCUGACCAGAAAGCCACGGCUAACUACGUGCCAGCAGCCGCGGUAAUACGUAGGUGGCAAGCGUUGUCCGGAAUUAUUGGGCGUAAAGCGCGCGCAGGCGGUUCCUUAAGUCUGAUGUGAAAGCCCCCGGCUCAACCGGGGAGGGUCAUUGGAAACUGGGGAACUUGAGUGCAGAAGAGGAGAGCGGAAUUCCACGUGUAGCGGUGAAAUGCGUAGAGAUGUGGAGGAACACCAGUGGCGAAGGCGGCUCUCUGGUCUGUAACUGACGCUGAGGCGCGAAAGCGUGGGGAGCGAACAGGAUUAGAUACCCUGGUAGUCCACGCCGUAAACGAUGAGUGCUAAGUGUUAGAGGGUUUCCGCCCUUUAGUGCUGCAGCAAACGCAUUAAGCACUCCGCCUGGGGAGUACGGCCGCAAGGCUGAAACUCAAAUGAAUUGACGGGG
rnacentral:rRNA from 1 species